AUUCAAAUACUCUCUGUAAGUAGCAACAAGCCAUGUGAAGCCUCUCCAGAUGAGCUUAUUAGCCAAAGGAACACCAAUGAUGAUUUCUUUCAUAGUUGGCUUCUUGUCAUCUCAUACAGUAAUCAAGUAACUCCUUCCAACCCACCCAAUCCAACCAACAAUUUACAAGAAGGGUAUCCCUGGUGUUAUGAACUCUCCCCAGUGCCUUUGGUCUCCUCUCACUAUCAAGUGUGGCAAUCCAUCUGAUCCACACAACAAUCCUUGCUUCCCAUAGUUGUCAAACCUGCAUUUAAAUUUUGAGAUGAGAAAAAUAACACAUCUUUGAAAUACAUGUUUUAAAAAUAACUAUAUUCAAUUACAUUUUCAGGUCAUAUAUUACCACUAGCAUAAGGUGUUAUUGAUUCAAAGAACGAUGCUGCUUGGACAUAAUUUUUUGAGCAAUUCAAGAUAGAACAUGGUAACGGAGAAAACAUGUGCAUCGUUUCAGAUAGAAAUGAGAGUAUCAUUAAAUCUGUAUCGAGAGUGUAUCCAGAUGUAUUGCAUUUUGCUUGUAUUUGGCAUCUAUGAAACAACGUAUAUAAGAAAUUCAAAAAGAGCCAUGCCAAGUUGAGUGAGAUAUGUGUUUCAACAGUCCCAAUGGGUCUAUAUUGUGAUCUGGGACCUGAUUGUAUGCCCGAAAUCGGAUUCCGAGGUCCUUAUCUCGAGAUAUAAUUUUUUGUUGAAAACUGAAAGCCUAAAAAUUUAAUGGUUUUUUAAGAAUUGAUUAAGACUUGGUCUUGUUGAUACCAGGCCCGUAUUUUGGUUUCGAAGCCUGGUACGGGUCCAUUAUAAUAUUUAUGACUUGUCUCUAAAAUUUGGUGAGAAACGGAGUUAGUUUGAGGUGAUUCAGACGUCCGGUUGUGAAAAAUAGAAGUUUUAAAGUUUUCUGGAAAUAUUCAUUUGAUUUGCUAUUCAAUUUGUAGUUCUAGGUGUUAUUUUGGAGAUUUGAUCGCGCAAGCAAGUGCGUAUGAUAAUUUUCGACUUGUGUGCAAUUUUGAUUUAGAGUCCCGAGAGCUCGGAUGAGUUUCAGAUAGUCUAUAGAGUGAAAUUGAGCAUAGAGCAUUGAUGGUUCUACAAUUGGUGUCUAAUCUCGCAUUUGCAAGAUCACUGUUCAUAUUUGAGAGCAUUCCCCAACCUGGCAAGUCGCAAUUGCAAGCAAAUUCAUCCCAUUUACGAAGAGUACCUGGGCCAGCCUUAAUUCGUAUUGCGAUCUAGAGGUCGCAUAUGCGGGCUAGAUCAUGUAGUGGUCGCAAUUAUGGAUUGGUAAGUGUUCGCAUAUGCGAAUUUUUCAUCGCAAAUGCGAUGACUACAGAGGUGUGGGGGUCUUUGCAAAUGCGAUGGAUUUCUCGCAUUUGCGGGCUUCGCAUUCCCAGGUUGCAAAUGCGACAUCUGUAGCUGAACAAAUUAUGAAUUAGACGUAAUUUUUGGUCCAUUCUUUAAAUUUUCAAAACCUAAAACCUUAGAGGCAAUUUUUCCAGACUCCUUCUUCCCCAAGUCGUUGGUAAGUGAUUCUAACCUACAUCAUUUCAAUCUUUCACUGCAUUUCACAAGUUUUCAACCUAAAAUCUAGAGUUUUCAUGGUGGAAUUAGGGGUUUUGGGUAAAAAUUAGGUAUUUGGUAAAUUAGUGAUUUAGACUUUAAAUUAAGGUUGGAUUUCAAAACCAAUCAUACAACCAGGCACGUGGGUGAAUGGGUAAUAGGAUUUUGGUCCGAAUUUUGGAUUUGGACCAAGUGAUACUGGUGGUUGACUUUUUCAAUAAUGACCUAAAUUGAAUCUUUGCAAUCGUGGGUGAUUCCUAAAGCUUAUUUUAAAUUAUUUGGUUGGUAAUUUGCUAGAUAUUAUUGGUUUGGAGGCUUGUUUUAAAGGAAAAGCUAUGGUUGAGCUUUAUGUGGUCUUUGAAGUGAGGUAAGUAUUAUGUCUAACUUUGACUUGAGGGAAUUAGGAAUCCUCGGACUAUGUGCUAUGUCGGCGUAUAUAAAUGAGGUGACCAGUGCUUAUACUCUGCCGAAUUAUCUAUUUUUCCUGACUUUCUGCUUUUCCUUAAUUAUUUCCUUCAUGUCCAAACCGUUAUAUGCUCUAAAUAUUUUCUAUGCUUAAUUGCUACUUGUUAUUCAGUAUCUUCUCAUAUUCACGAUGUUAGUCUUCCUUAGUUUCAUGAUUCCCUACUAAUUAACUUACUUACACCUUCUAAUUGUCAAUUGAUGGAUUGGUCUCCCUAUGUAGUAUUACUAGUGUAGAUUUCUUCAUUGUACAAGUCCUCUCUAGGUUUAGUUUCGUAUUUAUUGAUCGUAAAUGCUUGGUGGUUGAACUAUUGAUUUGAUUGUGCUUUGAGUAUUUGGCACUGAUAUGGUGGGAACGAGAUGCACACCGCAACAUGUAUAAUAAUGAUGGAUUGAUAUGGUGGAAUAAAAGUGAAUAUGUUCUAUACGAUGGGAUCGGGUUGCACGCCAAAAAGGUGGAAUUCGGGUAAAUUGAUACGACAAAAUAAGGGUGCAUUAUAAUAUUGAUAUUGACAUAUGGUGGGACAGGGUUAUGCGCCGCAUAUAUAUAUAUAUAUAUAUANNNNNNNNNNNNNNNNNNNNNNNNNNNNNNNNNNNNNNNNNNNNNNNNNNNNNNNNNNNNNNNNNNNNNNNNNNNNNNNNNNNNNNNNNNNNNNNNNNNNNNNNNNNNNNNNNNNNNNNNNNNNNNNNNNNNNNNNNNNNNNNNNNNNNNNNNNNNNNNNNNNNNNNNNNNNNNNNNNNNNNNUAUAUAUAUAUAUUAUUUACUAUUGUUGAUAUUGUUACGGUGAAGUAAUGGAGGAUUUUGUGUUGUCUGGUGAGAUAAAGCUACGCAGCGCAACAACCUAUAUGUUUUCAUUUCUUGAACCGUAUUGGUUUUUCGGUGUUUGUAUUUGAACUAUUAAAGAUUUGUAAUUCUGGAUGACACUGGUUUAUUCUUGAAGCGGUUGUUAUCAUUUUUAGUUGACUGUUAAAUUGUGUUCAGUAUUUCCUAUUUUCCGUUAAUAUUAUAUACUGCGUAUAUGUUGUAGUACAGGUGACCCGCUAUAGCCUUGUCAUUACUUCGUCGAGAUUAGGCUCGGCAUUUGCCAGUACAUGGGGUCGGUUGUACUGGUACUACAUUCUACACACUGUGCAGAUUUUGGAAUUGGUCCAAGCGGCUGUUAUUAGCAUGCUCGGAUUGGAUAGUUGCGGAGACUUGAAGUACGACUGCUCAGCACCCGCAGCUCUUAGAGUCUCCUCCUUUAUCCAUUUAGUUGUGUAUCAUCAUUCAAACAACUUUGUAUUUAUUUGAGACUCUUGUAUGUAUUACUCUAGAAGAUCGUGCAAUUGUGACACCGAAUUUAGGGAUUUGUAGCAGAUGUUUUACGAUUUCAGCUUCCUCUUUUAUAUUUAGAUUAUUGUAGUUAAAUCAAUUCUUCUUCAUUAAUUGGAUUUAUUAAAAAGGAUAAAUUGUUCUAAUGUUGGCUUGCCUAGCAAAUAAAAUAUUAGGUGUCAUGACGGCCCCAUAGUGGGAAUUCCGGGUCGUGCCAUCUUUUCUUGUUACAGCAAAAUCUAAUAUUCCCAUAUAUAGUCUUUGCACAUUUGUGUGGAUACAAUAUAAUAGCGCAAGCAAAAUGAAGAUAUACUUGAUUUCUUAUACAAUAAAUUUAGAAGUUGGGGUCAGUGAGUUCUCCAUUCAAAUACUCUCUGUAAGCAGCAACAGGCCAACUGAAGCCUCUCCAGAUGAGCUUAUUAGCCAAAGGAACAUCAAUAAUGAUUUCUUUCAUAGUUGGUUUCUUGUCAUCUCUUACAGCAAUCAAGUAACUCCUUCCAACCCACCCAAUCCAACCAGCAAUGUACAAGAAGAGAAUCCCUGGUGUGAUAAACUCUCCCCAGUGUCCUUGGUCUCCACUCACUAUCAGAUGUGGCAAUCCAUCUGAUCCACACAACAGUCCUUGUUUCCCAUAGUUGUCAAAUCUGCAAACUCAAUUCAUCCCAUCUGAUCCACACAACAAUCCUUGCUUCCCAUAGUUGUCAAACCUGCAUUUAAACUUUGAGAUGAGAAAAAUAACACAUCUUUAUAGGAUUUAGGUUAGCUUAUAUGUGUACACCGGUAACCAGGGACAGAUCCAUCGUUAAGGUCUCGGGUUCAUCUUAACACAAUAUCUUCAACGCGAAGCAUAAUAAAAGUUGAACUCAUAAUUAAAUCUUGGAUUCGCCACUGCUGACAUCUGGUGUAACUUAACAUAUUAUAGCAGAAUAGCAGGCAACCUGCUUCAUUUUCCAGGGUUACGAUCCCAUCUUUUAUAAAUCACUAUCUCUAAUUAUCUUUUAGUUUGAAAAAUUCUUGCACCAUCUGUGUAAGAUAAGUUAACUUGUUGUAGCAGGUUAUUUAUUAUUUAUUAUAGAUUAUCAGAAAAUGCUUAUUAAGUAGAAUGACUUGUAAUUACGUUUUUAAGUAACAUAAUUGUGUAAGAAUCUCUUACGCAGUAAACACAUAGGAAUUACACUCAUUUUCUCAAAUUCUCACUUUGCCAUUAAAUUCUCAUUUUCUGAUCCAAGUAUUGUUGGAUUUCAUCACUUUACAAGAACAUAACAAGUACUCCUAUUAAACCGGACAUCUUAAGUAGUUACCUAAAAUGAUAGAGAAAUAGUUCCAAAAUUUGAUUUAAUUACAGCGAGUAGAUUACACAAUGAUAUUUAGCAUGGCAAAAUAACAGAUUACGAAUUGGAAUUAAUUUUAUACACACUACUUAAUAAUUUACAAGAAUUUUCACACUAGAAUAGUUUAACAUGCUGUAGUAGUAGGUAUCAAGUGUUAUGGCUAUUAAUUCUGUUUAUUAUGGAUAGCUACCCAGUAGUAAUCUAUGAAUAUUUUCUAUACAUAAAGUAUAACGUUUUGAAAUUUUGCAUGAUGAUGUACACUUUCAGGACAGCUUAGAUGGCAAAAGUAGAUGACAAGUAAAACAAAUACUAAAAGACUAUGUCAAAAACAAAAAAAAUAAAAAUACAAACCUGC
rnacentral:lncRNA from 1 species